rnacentral:rRNA from 1 species
UACGUAGGUGGCAAGCGAUACUCGGAAUCACUAGGCGUAAAGCGCAUGUAGGCGGCUUGAUAAGUCUUUUGUGAAAGCUCCUGGCUUAACUGGGAGAGGUCAAAGGAAACUGUCAGGCUAGAGUUUGGUAGGGGAUACUGGAAUUCCUGGUGUAGCGGUGAAAUGCGCAGAUAUCAGGAGGAACACCGGUGGCGAAGGCGGAUCUCUGGGCCAUUACUGACGCUGAGGAGCGAAAGCGUGGGGAGCGAACAGG